ensembl:lncRNA
AUCGGUCUCUCUCCAUGUUUAUUCUUUAUUUCUCUUUUUUUUUUGCAGACAGAACACAUGCGUGCAAUUUAUUUAUUCAGCUUCAGUAACCACCUUAUCCUAGUUGGAGUCACACUGGAACUGGAGCCUAUACCAGGCCACACUAGAUACCUACAGAUCAGCAUCUCCUGACUGGAAAUGGCCUCCAAGACCCUAACCAGUCUGGCUUCAGAGCGGCAUACGCCAUAGAAUUUACCCUUAUGGUUGUUACGAAGAAGCUUCAUGUCCUCUUCUCCUUGACCUUUCAUCGUCCAAUCACAAGUCUGGGAUUUCCUUGUCUUGAAAUUAGUGGGACAGCAUGGUGAUGGUUCGCUUCUUAUUUGGCAGGACUGUCAUAUCAGAAACUCGCAGAUCUCAGCAUGUUGGGCAGACAUCUUCCCAAGGAUGGGAGCUCAUCACUUGACACUUAAUCCCAGCAAGACUGUGUUGCUGUACAGUCCCUCCAGGAUUUCACGAUUUUGUGACUGCAGGAAUGAAUGCGAAAUGAAGUAAACGUCGCAGGUUUUCUAAUGUACCACAGAU